UGCAGUCGANCGAAGUGCUUCGGCACUUAGUGGCAAACGGGUGAGUAACACGUACUUAACCUGUCUCGCAGUGGGGGACAACAACUGGAAACGGUUAUUAAUCCCGCGUAAUCCCAAGCAGGAUAACCUACUUGGUUGAAAGAAGCGUUUGCUUCGCUGCGAGAGGGGGGUGCGCCGUAUUAGUUAGUUGGUGGGGUAACGGCUUACCAAGACCAUGAUACGUAGCCGGCCUGAGAGGGUGUUCGGCCACAUCGGGACUGAGACACGGCUCGGACUCCUACGGGAGGCAGCAGUAAGGAAUAUUCCACAAUGGACGCAAGUCUGAUGGAGCAAUACCACGUGAUCGAUGACGGCCUUCGGGUUGUAAAGAUCUGUUGUUAGGAAAGAAAAAGCAGCGGAGGAAAUGUCGUUGCCUUGACGGUACCUGACGAGGAAGCCACGACUAACUAUGUGCCAGCAGUCGCGGUAAUACAUGGGUGGUAAGCGUUAUCCGGAUUAAUUGGGCGUAAAGCGUGCGUAGACGGUUUAGUAAGUUUGAGGUUCCAGAACAGAGCUCAACUCUGUUGCCCCUCAAAAACUGCUAGACUGGAAUGCUGAAGAGGUUAAUGGAAUUCCAUGUGUAGCGGUGAAAUGCACAGAUAUAUGGAAGAACACCAACGGCGAANGCAGUUAACCAUUUAGUCAUUAACGUUGAGGCACGAAAGCGUGGGUAGCAAAUAGGAUUAGAUACCCUAGUAGUCCACGCCGUAAACGAUGAGUACUAGAUGUUAACGUAAAUUAGUGUCACAGCUAACGCAUUAAGUACUCCGCCUGGGUAGUAUGCUCGCAAGANUGAAACUC
rnacentral:rRNA from 1 species